rnacentral:lncRNA from 1 species
GUCCCCGGCGUCCGGGCGCCCUGCAUGGAUCCCCCACCCCAGCUCCUGCUCCCCGGCGGCGGCCGGUGGGCAGAAAGACCGAAACCCACUCACGGCCGCCUGCCGAAUCGCGGCUCUGCUGUUUGUGGGGCGUGCUAGAAACGUGGUCCUAAAAAGAAUGGCGUCCAUUUACAUAAUGCUUUGUUUGCGUUUCGCAAGUUUCUUUCGGUUAAAGCCACAGAAACCCCACCUCCUGCCCUUGUGUCGUUUCCACCGCGGCACCCUUUUCCGACAUUAGAAACAAUAGUGUACGCCUGUGGAGGCCUCGUUUGUUCAGGGGCUGCCGGCCAGGGCUUCAGGACGUUUCUGCGGCUUUCCCCGCGCGGCCUGGGCUCCCGCGGCUGCUUUUCGGGCCCAUGGGCGCAGCCACUGCGCCAGGCUCAAGGGGGGCGGCCCCGUCAGGGCCCGCCAUCUUGGAAGGCCUUUUUUGCCGGUUCUUCCCGCUGAGGAAGUGUCGCUCAAGACGCUGGCCUAUGAGUUGUGAUUUCUGCCUUUUCCCCUUCCUCCUUGGGCUAAGCCAGACCAGAAAGGGCCCCGUGCGCAACGUGCUUCACAAUCUCUCAGGGAAAGCGGCUAACGUGGCGCUACUCCGCCUCCCCUGUUCCUUACCCUUGGGGCGGCCGCCAUGUUUCCUGAACACAAAAUGGCGACACGUGGUUAGCAUUCGUCGCCAACGAGAAAUUGGGGUCGGCCCGAAAGCUCUAGAAUGCACCCCUCUUCCUCCCCGGGGCCUUCCACCUCCGCGAGUUUUAUGACUUAAAAAAGCCCACAGGCUGGUCUGAAGGUCGGAGGCCUAAUUUUAACGCGUUUUCCUCCCUUUAAUUUGAAACGGGAACGCGAAUGACUGUAAAAUGUGGGCACAAUAUUUAAUCUCUCGCCUUUUUAAAGCUUAAUAGUGGAUAAUAGGGGGGCAGUAUCAAGGGAUAAUUUGGGUCCCCACAGUACCAAAGCAUUUAGAAACCUCUGUUUAAUUUAAGGAAUGAGAUAAGUUACUGCUUUUCUAGACUUCCUAGCAUGGGCUGUUGUGCUGGAGAGAACGAGAGCUACGAAGAGACUACAGUGCCUCUGACUUUUUCAUAGGACAGUUGGCCGAGGAAGACAAACAUAAAGAUGAAGUGCUUAAUUCAAGGUCACACAAUGUCGGGGAUGGACCUCCAGAUUUCCUUACUGGAAAACAAGCUCAGGGCUCCCACUGAUUGUACAUUAUGGUGAGACGUGGUCUUGUAACACAGUGGUUAAGAAUGUGACUUUGGAGCCAGCCUGCUAGGGGCUGAAUUCUGACUCAGCCAUUUACUAACUGUGUGACCUUAGGGAGGAGGACCUGGUUGAUAGAAGAAUUUAUCUCGUAGUCUUAACAUCCACUGUAAUUCCAAACUUUGAGGACGAUAGAGAUCAGUGGGCUUUGACUGCCCAGCAUGCAGUCUCCAUUCUUAGGUGGGUUCCCAAGCCUGUAAAAUGUAAGCCUUAUGCUGCUGAGGGCCAUCUUGCCACCCUGAGGGAAACGCUGCCUGAGAAUGAAACAAGCAUAAGUAAAAGCUGAGCUGUGAGAUGGAGCAAGAUGAAGGCCACAUGACAUCUUUGGAGCACCUGGAUCUAACUGUGCCUUAAGCUAGUCUAACCCUGAACAUUUCAUCAUUUCAUUGACAUGAGCCCAGGUUUUCUUUUUUUUUGGAUGGAGUCUUGCUCUGUCGCCCAGGCUGGAGUGCAGUAGCUCAAUCUCGGCUCACUGCAAGCUCCACCUCCCGGGUUCACGCCAUUCUCCUGCCUUAGCCUCCCAAGUAGCUGGGACAACAGGCGCCCACCACCACUCCCAGCUAAUUUUUUGUAUUUUUAGUAGAGACGGGGUUUUACCAUGUUAGCCGGGAUGGUCUUGAUCUCCUGACCUCAUGAUCCGCCCGCCUCGGCCUCCCAAAGUGCUGGGAUUACAGGUGUGAGCCACUGCACCCAGCCCUCAGGUUUUCCCUUUUUUUACCCCUCCUUUUGAAAAUUUGAUGUGGAAUUUUGCCACCUGCAGCCAGAAGAGUUUUAACUAAUCAGUGCCAUAAAUUUUAUAUAGUUCUCCUUGCAAAAUGUGGAUCAGCCUUUCUCAGCAAAUCCUUUGUCAUAAAGUGCUGAAUUGUAAGUUUGUCAUGAGAAUCACAUGAGAUCAUGCAUGUGAAGAACCUGGCAUUAUCCUCCUCAUAGAAAAAAACCAGUAAAUAUUAACUACAGGAAGCAAGGAAGGAGUGGGGUGAGGGGAAGAAGAAGGGGUACUGAUUUAAAAGAACCCUGGAGUCCUAAGGAUAAUCUAGGAACCCUCAGACCCAAUCCGAUACCCCUAUUCUAAAUGCUCCUAGUGCCCUGUACCUUCCCCUCAUAAGCCUUCAUUAUCAUUGUAAUGAUAUGUUUAUGUAAUAUUUUGAUUAAUGUCUCUCCUUCACUGACCUAGCAGUUCUAGCAGGGCAGUGAUUUUGCUGUGUUGCAUCCCCAGCACCUAGUCUGGUAUGUGGCAUUCAGCAUAUGUUUAUUGAAUGAAUGGCCAUGUGGUUAUUCAGAUCCUCCUUGAUUAUUGGGGUUAGGAUUGUGGCAGAAGUGGCAAAAUCAGGGAGAGUAGUCCCUGUCCCCUCUGUAUCUUAUACACUGCCCACACUCCCAACACACAUACACAUACAGAGAAUUUUGUCUCAAUUAGAUAAUUAACUUCUGCUUGGUUGUAAACCAAACCACUGGUUCUUAAACUUUCAUUGGAUCAUUUUAUUGAAGAAUUAAAUAGUGUGGUUCUGGCCUAAUGUCUGGAAAGCCUUGCAGAGGAGUGGAUUAGGUCUUUGUGAUAAACAGGCAGCCUUCCCUGCUCCUGUGUCUUUAUAAAAUCUAUUUAACUGGAGUAGUCCACCCUCCCUCAGGCUCUUACAGGAAUAUGUUGGAGGCUGUAGGAAGGUGGGAAACCGAGAGGGAAAGGACUGGGCCGCUGGAGACUUCACUCAUUCCCUAGCAAGAAACAAAAGCAGUAAAAGGUGGCCCGAGGACAACCUGAAGCUCACUCCUUCAGCACUUUUGGCUGGAGGUCACUUGUUGGAGCCCCACUCAGAGCUCAGCACACCACCCCACCAGCAGCCUCCUCCUCCCAGCUGAGGCUGCAUUUCAUCCCUUCCCCCAGCCUGCUUUCCCUGAGAUAGGGGAGUGUUUCCCAGGGCCCAUGUGACUUCCACUGGCAAGUGACGAUUACCAAUGGUUUACUAGUCAGUGAAACUACCAAAGGCUUUUGUGCUGUAGUAAUCCUUUUCCUGUUUAAAACUCUGGGGAUUUUCUAAUGUUGCCAAUAGUUUUUCAAGUCAGCAAUUACUGUGUGGAUUAUGUAAUGGCUCGGUAUUAAAAAUAGAAAAGACUGGA